rnacentral:lncRNA from 1 species
CAGGCGCUCUGCCCCGCCGUGGGGUUUUGGGGGUGCUGUGGAGAAGGCAGGGCUCGGGACUCUUCCACCUCCUUGGCUGCUCUGGCCUUUGAGUUAUGCUCUAAGAUUAUCGAUUACUUUUCCGUUGUUGCUUAUUUCCCACAGCAGCAGAAUGAGAACGGUUAUUAGUUAAUAGCCAUCAGAGACAGACCAAGUGGAACACAGUCCUCGGAAAAACGCCACUCUGUAGCAUUAGUAAUUAAAACCUCACAAGGUUUGUAUUUCCUGAAGGAGGCCGUCAGUGUCAAUGCUGUACUAACGACGGUACUGUACACUUCUCAGUCCUUUAUGUGGAGCUGGGGGCAGGAAGAAUUGCUUCUGGAAGCUGAUGGAGUUGGACAUGUGGCUUUCUAGAAUCUGGAUGUGAUGGUGCAGGAAAAACUCCUGCCCAUUGAGAGGGCUCCGUAAGUGCUUCCCAAAAGAGAAUGAGAAGGAAAAGGAGAUCUCCACAGGAACUGCCUCCUUGGAUCCAGGGCAAAAAUGAACCUCCUAUUGGAGAGAAGUGCCCAGCUUGUCAAGAAGUUGAAUCGGUGCAACCAGCGUUUGUGAAAGCAGCAUUUCCCAUUUCACAUAAAGUCAGCUUCUGGCCAACUGGACAAGUCUGAACAAAUAUGAAACCCACUAAAAGGCCAGUGACAGGUGCACACACUACUGACUCUGGCUAGAGGCUGUGGCAGGAAUUGGACUCAUGUCAUCCAGCGACAGUUCCACCAGCAUCUCUUGUGGCUUCCCAAGGACCAGCCUGAGGCAAACUCCUCAGUGGUGUGAAGACUUUCCAUGUCACUGGAAACCCACCACAGAGUUCUACCAAGUAACCAUGCCUCCACCAGUCCACAACAAACUUUUAAGGCCUCUCCAGUUAUGCCUGCAACCAUCCCACAUUAGCAACCUAAGUAGGCCACCAGUAGAGCUGGUCAAGAGAAAGGAUAGGUUCAAUUAAUUAUUUUUUAAUUAAAAAAAAAUAGAGACAGGGUCUUGUUAUGUUGCCGAGGCUGGUCUUGUACU